ensembl:lncRNA
CUCAUGGCACACAGCACAGAGCCACGGUGAGCUCAUGGCACAGCACCGCAGAGCCACGGUGAGCUCACGGCACACAGCACAGCACCGCAGAGCCACGGUGAGCUCAUGGCACACGGCACCGCCCCCCCGUCGGCACACGCCGCGCUCACACCAACCACACAACACACAGCCUGGGGCAAAACAUGGCCUUCUUGGGCAGCACGCGGCACCGCACCGCCACCACGGUGAGUCCAUGGCACAGUAUGGCACUCCUGGUGUGUCCAUGGCACAGUAUGGCACUCCUGGUGAGUCCAUGGCACAGUAUGGCACAGCAAUGCACUCCCGGUGGGUCCAUGGCACAGUAUGGCACAGUAUGGCACUCCUGGUGAGUCCAUGGCACAGUAUGGCACAGUAUGGCACUCCUGGGGAGUCCAUGGCACAGUAUGGCACUCCUGGUGGGUCCAUGGCACAGUAUGGCACAGCAAUGCACUCCUGGUGGGUCCAUGGCACAGUAUGGCACAGCAAUGCACUCCCGGUGGGUCCAUGGCACAGUAUGGCACAGUAUGGCACUCCUGGGGAGUCCAUGGCACAGUAUGGCACUCCUGGUGGGUCCAUGGCACAGUAUGGCACAGCAAUGCACUCCUGGUGGGUCCAUGGCACAGUAUGGCACAGCAAUGCACUCCCGGUGGGUCCAUGGCACAGUAUGGCACUGCUGGUGAGUCCAUGGCACAGUAUGGCACUCCUGGUGGGUCCAUGGCACAGUAUGGCACAGCAAUGCACUCCUGGUGGGUCCAUGGCACAGUAUGGCACUGCUGGUGUGUCCAUGGCACAGUAUGGCACUCCUGGUGAGUCCAUGGCACAGUAUGGCACUCCUGGUGGGUCCAUGGCACAGUAUGGCACAGCAAUGCACUCCUGGUGGGUCCAUGGCACAGUAUGGCACUCCCGGUGAGUCCAUGGCACAGUAUAGCCCAGUAUGGCACUCCUGGUGGGUCCAUGGCACAGUAUGGCACAGUAUGGCACAGUAUGGCACUCCUGGUGAAUCCAUGGCACAGUAUGGCACUCCUGGUGAUCCAUGGCACCGUAUGGCACAGUAUGGCACUCCUGGUGAGUCCAUGGCACAGUGUGACACUCCCGGUGAGGCCAUGGCACAGUAUGGCACUCCCACUCCCUUCCAGCCCCA